AAGAAUGUUUGCGAGUAUUGUGUUGGGAAGUAUAGUUCUUUUGCGCCUGGGGCCGGCUUGCUCAAGUCCUGAAUCAAUGCCUUGUUUCUCUUGUAGAGGUCUGAGUUUCUGUAAAUAUCAGCAAAAUCAACUCCCAUUGCUAUUUCUUGUGUUGUGGUAGUGACUUCCAACAUCCAGGUAGCUGGGUUGUAUCCGUCGGUGAUUUUGCUAACUCCGUCGAUCUCCUCAAAGUAUUUGACAAGAUGGGUAGAGUGGCGUCCCAAUGGACCCACAUAUAUCUCUUGUCCUCCUCUCUUCAACAAGAACAACUGCAACCCAAAAUAACCACAAACCAGUUGUUAGAAUGAUGAAAUGUGGAACCAAUUUUACUAAUCUUGCAUAACAAGUUAUUUGACUUACCUCAUCAAAAGCUUCAAAGAUAUCAAUACUUGGCUGAUGAAUGGUACAAACAACAGUUCUACCGGUAUCCACAGUGUUUCUGACUGCUCUCAUGACGAUUGCAGCAGCUCUAGCGUCCAACCCUGAGGUUGGCUCAUCCAUGAAGAUGAUCGACGGGUUUGCCACCAAUUCGACAGCAAUGGUUAACCUCUUCCUUUGCUCGGUUGUCAACCCACUUACACCGGGGAGCCCCACCAGUGAAUUACGCAACGGGUUUAGCUCCACAAGCUCCAUUACUUCUUCAACAAACAUCUGCAAGAUCAUUGAAACAGUUAGAACCUUUCUAAGCUUUCCUACACACAACAAUUUAAUUGAAAAGUUGAAUGAAAGAUUGAAACUUUACCAUUCUGGUCUUCUCAUCAACUUCUUUGGGCAAACGGAGCCAAGCUGAGUAUACCAAAGAUUCAUACACUGUAACUUGUGGAGAAUGGAUGUCAUUCUGCUCACAAUACCCUGAAACCCUAGCAAAAGUCUCUUGCUUCUUAGGGAAUCCAGAUACCGUGAUGUUUCCUUCAAUGUAGCCACCAGUUUUCCUUCCAGCCAGCACAUCCAUAAGUGUGGUUUUACCGGCACCACUAACUCCCAUUAGAGCAGUCAACACACCCGGCCUGAAUGCACCACUAACCUUCUUCAGAAGAACCAAUUUAUCUUCAGCUACGCCUUGUGCUUUCAUCUCCGCUGGCAUGUCAACAGAGUACACAACAUCGUCGAAAGUGAUGGAGUGAGGCUCAAAUGGAAGAACCAUUCCCCUCUUCUUGCUUUCACUGACCUCAUCAUCAUUUGCUGCAGUUAUGGCACUACCGGCACUUCUGUGUUGUGACAUCUCAACAGCUCCUGCAGAAGUGCUUGAUUCGAUGGAAUCUUCAGAUAUGACAGCCUGAGGUUUCUCGAAUUCUGUCAAAAUGAAACACGCAGUAUUAGAAUCAUUGAGUGAACAACAAGUUUCUUGCUCUUCGAACCAUGCACUUGUGUGAAAGGAGGUUACUUACGGUCGAAGAAAGUAAGAGCCAUAGCAUACAAGAUGUUGAACAAGAAAAGGAACCCGAUCGAUGCUCCUACUCCAAGCCAAUACCAAUGCGGCUCAGUGAAGAACCCACGCGACUUCAACACUUGAAGUCCUAGCGAUUCCGUUGAGUUGGCAGGAAUCUGAAUCCACGAGAACAAAAAGGAGACAAUCAGGAAUGAAAAGAAACGAACAAAACAGAAGAUGAAGUGAAUGACAGGAGGAAGGAAGAUUACAUGUCUCCAACUGUUUCCAAGGAACUCGUUUACAAUCAAUGCAUUUUGCCCGUACAUCAUAGGCGAUGCCCAAUAAGCCCAAAUCCACCAUUUCUUCACAUCCUCUGUGAUAGUAAGAAAAAAGGCAAUGUUAAGACAUACAAAUUACAUCAAAAUUUGUAAUGUAAGAAAAAAGCAGUAGCAAGCAAACCUCUUGAUAGGAUGAAUCCACUCAGCACAAACAAUAGGAGCAGAACAAAUGAACCAAAGGUGUUGGCAACAAUCAUGUUCCUUCCAGUUGCGGCAAUGAAGCGAAAGAGAGCAGAUGCCAUCUGGUUGAUGGCUACCAGCAGUACAUACAUCCUUAUCAUCCUGCAAAACAUUAACAAUGUUGUUGUAAGUAUGGAAAGUUUUGAUGAUUUAUCCCAAGUUUGAGAAAGAGAUCAGUAAGUUACCUUCCAAAGUUGGAAUCAAAUCCAAUGACAUAGUAAGUGAGGAAGACCCAAACAGCAACCUCGAGGAAGGUGACCGGAAUUUUCAGGAUCCAAGGGGGAAUGGAGUAAACCCAUGGAGGGUAGAAAAACAGAUUCCGUUGCUUGUAGAACACUGGAAGCUUUGCAAUGGUCAUGGAAAGUUCCGCCAUUCCAUUGAACAUGAUCAUAAUCAACGAAAAGAAGAGUGCUCCCACGAAUAUUCCACCGUCAUUGACUGAGUCUCGGUGCAUCUCCGUCCUGAAGAAUACGGUCAUGGCCAGCAGUGCCAUGAUAAAGAGCUGUGUUUUUUACCAAGUAAGAGUUAGCAAGGAGGGAAAGUGCAAUCCUUUUCACUUAAUGAAAUUUCUAAUUCUUGCUUAAUACUUACUUGAGUCAGCUUGAAGACAUAGACGAAGGAGUUUCUUUUCAUGAGCAAGAACUCCCUUGAGAAGCUAGCCUUAAGAAGCUCCUUGUUUCCGAUUCCAUAUUUCUUGGUAGCCAAGGCAGCAGGGUGGCUCUUGGUCCUGUCAUAAGGAACUGUGAGCUCAUCUGCGAUUUUCCUACCGACAUGAAAAGAUUGGAAUGCUUCAGCAAACUCCUUCGUCGUUACAAAACGAUAAGGCUGGUCCCUUCUUGCCCAAUACUGCUUCUGGUCUUUCUUAGAUGUGACCUGACAAAAAAUUAUAUUCAUAAUGUUAAUCAUGGGAUACUAAUGAAAAUUGGAUUUUUUUUAUGUUAUGAGAAAUAGAUACUCACUUCUUGUAAGAAAUCAGCAACUCCUUUCCUGUCAGGACACUUGAAUCCCAUCUGCUGGAAGAAUUCGAGAACGUUUUCGCGGGGGCCCUGAUACACAACUUGACUAUCCGACAGCAGGAUAAUGUCAUCAAAGAGAUCAUAUGUCUCCGGAGCAGGCUGAAGGAGAGAAAUGACAUUAGUUCCAUUCAAGAUGUGAUUGGAUUGUUUCAGUGAGUUCACGAUCUGGAAAGUAGUUGAACUAUCCAACCCAGUUGAUAUUUCAUCCAUAAACAAGGCCCUGGCUGGUCCAACAAGCAUUUCACCAGUAGUGACACGCUUCCUUUGUCCUCCAGAGAUACCUCUGAUCAUUUCAUCUCCCACGAGAGUGUCUGCGCAAACUUCUAGCCCCAAAAUCUAUACGAUCCCACAAGAGAUAAACAUAUUAGACACUUGCCAAGCUUCAUUAUUUCCCAACUCUAUGUCAAGAGUAACUAGGAACUUAAUGGUGAUUCAGAAACAAAAAAAAGCUAGGAACUUUAUGUUACCUUCAAAACGUAGUCUGUGACCACAUUGCUCUCUAAACCUUCUGUUGCAGCAGCCUAUACAAAAGGAAAUCUAUCAGUUCAUAACUAUUUUCAACUGCAGAUUAAAUCGUCUUGCCUAAAUGUUGAGACAGAAUAUUUGGUACAUAAUUAUCUGUAUACAAUAUGUUCUUUUUCCUCCUCCAUGAAGACACUUUACUCACCUUCAUGAAGACAUCAAUGUCAGGAUCAGGCUUAAUAUUUGCUGCCUUUUCUCUUCUAGACAACUCAGCCAACAUAUCUGCAAUUUCAUUCCCAAACUUUUGGUUCAUAUUUUGAAAAAUAAAGAAACGUAUGGACAAAGGAAUCAAACAAGAAAAAAGACACUAACCAUGAAGAGAACCAACUCCUUGGACUCUGGCUGCAAAAGCCAAAGUCUCCCUAACAGUCAACUCUCCCAUAUGAAGAUCAUGCUGACUAAUAUAAGCUGAAGUUUUCUGGGGAAUGAACUCAUUCAUAUCAUGUCCAUUGUAAGUAACCCUCCCUGAAACCUUCAGAUUCGGAUCCAGCCUUCCCGCCAAAGCCAGCAACAAACUUGUUUUCCCAGAACUUGGUGGACCCAGAAGCAGAGUCAAUCUGUUCAUUGUUGAACCCCAAUCAAAAUAAAUAAAACAUAGUUUCAGAUCCAAGAAACUUGUGAAUCAAAAUUUCAUCAAAUUUCCUUCUCAACCAACUCACCUCCCUGGCUUGAUGACUCCACUAACAUCGUUAAGGAUCGUCAGAUGUCUCUUCUUACUUGGAAGUAGAUGCAACAGAUCGAAGAUACCCUAUUCGAAAAGAAACAAUUUGUCUUCAUCAGAUUUUCCUCGACUCCCAUGUUGUGGACGUCGAUCUCGCUGAGCUCUGUUUUCGAAGCGCUGGCCAAAAUGCCUUUCCUGAGACGGUCGUAAGUUGGGAGCUUCUCAAGAGCUGCCCAUUUCAGAGCUUCCUCGUCGUCUUCCUCCCUCGAAGAGGAAGAAAAGACGUCGGAAGGGUUGUUCCUCCAAACGGAAGCAGAGCCUCCUCGCCGGAGACUGUUCCUCGCCUUGAUAAGGUCGCCGCCUUCCAUUUUACUUUACCAGGGCGAUGCUCAAGUGGAAGAAAGAAUGAACAAAUGUAAAUUUGAAUGUUUUGCCUGAAAAGAAAACGAAAAGAGGUGCAAAAUCUGAGAGGUUUUGUUGAAAUGGAAGUGAUUUUAUUUUGUUGUUUGAAAAAUUGAAGCAGGGUUUUAUAGGGAGAGAAGGAAGCGAGAAGUCUGAAAGGCUCUCAUUGGGUAUUUCUAGGAAAGUUGUACGUGGACCGUGGUUGAGUCUGGCGGCUGAUUGAAUUGUCAAACUUUGAAUAUUUGAAUAUACAUGUUUUAGUCCCUUUACUAUGUAAACGUAACAGUUAACCUCACCUAGAAUAUUUUGAUUGCAGUGAGCCCCAUACUUCGUAACUUUUUAACAAAAAUAGGCACCAGUUAUUUUUUCCAUCCAUCCACCUACAGUUAAAAUUACUGAGUGAUCAACCGAUGAAUCGGUCAUUUUUCUUAUUUAGUGAACGAUUGGGAUAUGUCUCAGUAGAGUUGCUUCAGUGAUAGGGUGUGUGUCUAGUGAUCUGGAAGUUUCGGGUUCGAAUCCAGCAUAUCCUACGAAAUGAACACCAUGUUGUGUUUACUUUAUUUAUGUCUCUUAUCUUGUAUUAACCAGAAUCUCGAUUUACUCUAGAAAAAAAUUAUUAGAAUAUUCACUAACAUAAAAUUAUAACAAAAUUUAUAAUAUUUUUAUUUAUUACUGGUGAGAAGCGUAGGAAAAUUAUCGAAAAGGCACCAUGUCUAAAGGAGGUACUUGCUCAACAAGUGAAGCUAGAGUUGAUGUGCCCAAAGAUGUUCAAUUUGGUGGUUAUCUCAUGUAAUUAUGUUUUGUUCCUUUUCUUGUUCUAUAAUUUCUACUUCUUUUUAGCUGGAUAAUGCUAUUGUUGUUUAUUUAUUAAAUAUACAAUAUUUGUCUUAAUUAUCCUUUUAUUAUUUAUAUUUUGAUUUAAAUUAAGUACAUCAGUCAUCCAUUAUGUGAGCACAACAAUUAAUUAGACAUUUUGAGUCGUCGAUUAGUGGAUGAAUGGAAACGCUAGCGGAUGGGCUUGUUUCUUAAAAGUUAUAAAGUAGAGGGGAUCAUUUUGUUUAGAAAGUGGUAGGAAUUUUUUGUUAUCAUUGAAUAGUUGAGGGGCUAAAAUACAUAUUAACCCGAUUGAAUAUUUGUUGUUUUCAUACAUUAUUGGAGAUUUGGAGUCGGCUUUCAAACAGAGAGAGAGAGAGAGAGAGAGAGAGGAUAAGUCAAGUUCUUCUUGAAGAUGGGGAUGGGUCAAGAUGGAAGGCGGGAAAGAUGAUUAAACGUAUUAUUUAAAUAUGUGAAAUGAUAUUUAUGAUAAGACAAGAGGUGGACAUAGCUGCAAUAAUACCAAAGGUUUCAAAGCAGAUUAGAUAUUUUUAGGACAAAUUAGACUUCUAAUUCAACUACUUGCUUAACAUUUCACAUUGGGUUAGUCUCUGAACAACGUCUUUUAACUUUGGGUUUAUACACAUCGACGCCACCUUUUACCAUGCAAAAUCAUCAAAAACACUACUGCAUUCAGGGGGGGAAAGAGUACAAAGGAGAAAAAGAAAGAAACCCAGAAACUAUUUUGGAUGGAGGUAUCAAGAUUCAAGAAACCCAAACUCCAUGGGUUUCAAGAUCACAACUCUCUCUUGCCGCUAAAGGUAUUCGAUAGUUUUAGAUUAGAUGUUAUUUUUGUAAGCUUUUAAUCACGCUAAAGAAGAUCGUGUAAGGUUGAUACUGUAAACAUUGAGAAAAUAGUAUGGUUAACUUUUUUAUUACAACUCGUAAAUUUUCGUCCAUCCCGUAUCAAAUUUUUUAUUAUGCUCGUGAUUUAUUGUAUGGGUUGAAUCAGUAGUUAUCAAAAUGAGGUGUUAGUGUUACAUUGUCCAGUGGUCAAAAUACCUAACUCAUAAUCUAUGUGCCAUAAUUAAAUUUGUUUCGAGUUCCGACCAAACAAAUUUUCCACUACUAACUCGUAAAUAUUGUCAAAAUUAAAACCAAGUAAUGACCCAUCGUAAUCUUUUGUUUUUUACACAAAAUGGGUAUGCUGUCUACAUAAAUUUAGUCAUUUGGCAGCAACCAGUUUAAAUUAAUAAUGACACGAUAUAGGAACGGAUUUAGGGGUGAGUUUCUUGAAUACUUGUCCUUCCUUUUUUCAGGGUUCAAAAUGAUAAAUUUAAUUAUAAAUUAGAAUACUUUAUAUUUCGGACUAAUAAUAUUUUAAAUUUAGCCACGUAUUAUUUUUUAUCUUGAAUCGCUCCCUACGUAGACGAUGUGUAUGUUGUACACAAAUAUCUCUUUUGUGGUGAAAGGAAUGUAUGGGGAGAGUUUUAAUGGUGGAGAAUGUUGGGUAAAAAACAGAGUGUGGAACUGGGAAAAUAGACAAAAUCGUUUGGAAAUUUUGGUUAUUAAGCAAUUAAACAUAUUAACAAGGCAGACGACGUUGGGGUGGAAUUGUUGGUGCUUUUAAAUAUAUGUGAGAUGCAUCGGUUUAGGCGGUGAAACUUUGUUAACUUAAGACGACCAAUUCCAUGCAAAUGAAUGCAGUUCACAAUGACUUGAGACGCACUCAAAUACUUUUACUGCUGCUGCUACUUAUCUCGCAAUGAAUCAAAAAUAAAAAUGGUCUGCAACCGUCACUAGCUAGUACAUGAAUCAUAAGAAAAGUGGGUAGCCGAAAGAAAUAUAUAGUUUGAUAUCGUUUCUUUGUUGGGUGUUUCCUUGAUUCCUUCUCUCAUCUUCUCUGGAAGUUGAAAGACUUGAUUGACACGGCAAAGAUCAGAGCAAAGACAACUGCUAAUCCAACCAUAACAGCAGCAACAACUCCCAGGAAAUCAUGCUUGAACCCGAAGUAAUUCCUCAGGAAAUCUUCAACAGCUUCUCCAGACUCCAUUCGGGUCCUUAAAUCUCCAAACUGCGAAGUAAUCAGCCCGUACAAUGUCCACGAGAUCGGGUCGGCCCAGUAGUUCCAUCUCCACCACACCGGAAUCCUCUGCACACCAUUUCAUAACCAAGUUAAAAAAUAUGUGAAUGGAAGAAAGAUUGCAAAAUUUGGAAUUGAGAUUAAAUGUUAAAGUUGAACUUACAGGUCUGGGGAUGAUGAAUCCGGCGAAUAUGUUCCAGAUGGAGUAAAAGAAGGAAGAGAUGAUGCCAGCAAUGUGGUGGUUUGGUGUGAUUGCGACUGUCAUCAUUCCGUAAAAGGUGAAGUAGAGGAGGGUGAAGUACAUGAAGAAGAUGUACCAUAGGAACUUUGCAGCCUCGCAUUCGAACCCAAUCAUUGCGUAUGUGAUCACACCGUACACAACUGCUUGUGCCAGGAUGUACGGAAGCUCAAUCACCACCUGAGCGUAGGCAUAAGGCAAAGCUGAGUACAUUCCUGCAGCUCGCUCUCGGUAGAACACUGUUCUUUCAAUGGCUACCACGGGCUGUACUGAUGAUGCAUUUUGGACACCGAGGAAGAGCACUGCUGCGAACAUUGCUCCCAUUGCGUUGAAAAGGUCUUGUUGUCUCGAUCUGUGUUUGUCGAAAAAGGAACAGCCAUAUAAGCAAAUGCAACAUGUUCAUAAAACGAAGGUCAAAGGCCAUAAAAUGAUGUAAAAGACUCACGUUUUGCCACCAAGAUCCCAGAACAUGGUUCCGAACAUGAGAGCGAUGAAGGUAGUGAACAAGAAUCUGACAGCAGUGUAGGGAGGAUUACGCCAGUAAGACCAAUCCUGCUCCCACAAGCAAGCCAUGCAUUGUGUCCAGAAUGUCUGUGAGUAUUGUGUUGGGAAAUAUAGCUCUUUUGCUCCUGGGGCUGGCUUGCUCAAGUCCUGAAUCAAUGCCUUAUUUCUCUUGUAGAGGUCUGAGUUCCUGUAAAUAUCAGCAAAGUCAACUCCCAUCGCUAUUUCUUGAGUUGUGGUAGUGACUUCCAGCAUCCAUGUAGCUGGAUUGUAUCCAUCAGUGAUUUUGCUAACUCCAUCAAUCUCCUCAAAGUAU
rnacentral:lncRNA from 1 species